UGCAGUGACCUUGAUCAUCAAUUAUAGUAAUGACCGUUUGAAACGCGCUAAUAAUUAUUGCAUUAUUCAAUCCCCGAAUAAUAGAAGGAAUUAUAUACAAUUCAAAACGUGAUGUGUUUACGUGCAAGGAGAUAAACUUGAUAAACAUAUGAGAUAAAGACUGAAGAUGUAAAGAGAGAUCUUUUUCGUUUAAAACCUAUUACUUAAACCAGUUAAACUUCACUACGAGUUGUGUAACAUGAUUGAUUUUUCCAAAUAGAUAUUCACGAUGAUACAACAGUAACAAGAUCAUUUGACUUAAUAGCAAAAACUUAGUACAACAGAAUCUACAUUCUUAGAAAAGAUGACAGGAAAAUACAAGGACUUAUCAUGUUGUGAACAAAGUCAUAUUGUAUAGCGGUUAUUAUAAUGCACGCAAAGAUUCAUUAACUGCUAGACAGCAUGUGUAAACAAUUCAAACCUCUAAUCAAAGCAAAAGAAAAAUCCAUGACUAGUUAUUAAAUGUAUGAUUAUUUCUUGCUGUUGCAUUCAAUGCUUUAGCACUUCGUAUUAAUAUUACCUAAUUAAAAUAUUUUCAUAACAA